rnacentral:tRNA from 1 species
UGGGGCAUGGUGUAAAGGUAACAUCGCGGUCUCCAAAACCGCAGCUGGGAGUUCGAUUCUCUCUGCCUCAG